UACGGAGGGUGCAAACGUUGCUCGGAAUCAUUGGGCGUAAAGGGCGCGUAGGCGGCUUAACAAGUCACUUGUGAAAUCUCCGGGCUUAACUCGGAACGGCCAAGUGAAACUGUCAAGCUAGAGUGCAGAAGGGGCAAUCGGAAUUCUUGGUGUAGCGGUGAAAUGCGUAGAUAUCAAGCGGAACACCGGUGGCGAAGGCGGCCUUCUGGACAGUGACUGACGCUGAGACGCGAAAGCGUGGGGAGCAAACAGG
rnacentral:rRNA from 1 species